GACUUCAUCUGAAACAAAUCUUCCUUGGGACAAGAUCCAAGUCUGACUUGCUCACCACUCUAUUCUUAGUGCCAAGCACAGUGCCUGGCAUGUACUCACCCAGUAUAUGUUGUUGAAUCAGUGCCACUGAAUACAGUUAUGCAGUCUGUGUCCCAUCCAGCUCUAAGGACACCAUCCACAUAGCCAAUGAUAUCAUUGGUGCUCCCUGGAAAUGUAGAACAGAGCAACUGUAUAUUGAAUGAAAGAAUACAUAAAUAAAUAAGUCAAUGGAUGAGUAAAUGAAACCAUUUCUACAGAAUUGCCUUAUUAAAGAAAACUAUAUUGGUGUCCAGUAUAUCCUAAAAACUGAAAAAUCCCGUGUGGUUAUAUAUGCCUUGCAUAUAUGUCACACUGAAGCAGUUAUUUUGGCAUUUUAUGUGUUCCAAAUGAGACCUCUUUUGUCCUUAUAGGAAUUCUAAAAGUACUUUUUCAUAAUCUUGUACUUGGUUCACAACCCUCCAGGUACCAAUAUAAAGUCCCACUUUGGUUUUUUAAUUAUACAGGGACCUCAUUUUUGACUUGCAGGUGAAAAAGAGCUAAAGCUGGAUUCCAUUGGUGAGUCAAAGUACAUUUUUAAUAUAGUAUUUUUAUUCAGUGGGGCCCCUGAGUGAUAUCUGCAAUGCAUUAUAAUAUGCUGGUAAGAUAUAUAGAAUCAUCAGGGAAGAAAAGAGUGACAUCCAAAAGAAGGUUAUAGAUCACUAUGCUGAGAGUUAGAUUACCUGACACAGGGGACUUCUGAUAAUGAAGUAUCUAUUGGAAAUAAUAAAUCUUAGCCAUGACAUCCAUCUCCAAACCUUGACACACAUCUACAUUCUGUUUAUGACUCCAGGCUCCCCUACAGUGGACACUGAGCCCUGAUCAUUAGUGAUACCAUUUAUUAAUAAAACUUAAAAGGGCAGCAUCUUAAAAAAAAAAAAAAAAAGGAGAAUUUGGGUUAGGUGAAUCAUGAUUUCUUAGGACCAAGAAUUGCUACAUCACCCCCAAUACUGCCACCAUGUCACCCUGUAAUUCACAUCCUUGCAUUCCCAAAAGAGCCUCCAAGCUCCUUGUGUCUUGAGUUUGGUUUUGUAUUUAACUUACACACACCUGCCUUGCACAUUCAGGGUUUGUAGGUCUUGGUAUUCAUGUAAUGACCAAAUGAAAUUAUUAAACCAAAUGGUUUCAUUCAACCACACUUAAAAUUCCACAUGGCCUCAAAAGCAUCACCACGUUGAUUUUUCACACUAAAUAUAGAGCAUCAACCUGGGCAAGUUUCUCACCUGGAUUUCAUCCAUGAGUUGGUAGAUGCCUUGAUGCACCACUCAGACACCCUGCCAGGAAUGAAGGACCUAACUUCCCAACUGCUGGACAUGUAGCCAGAAGGCAACCCUGGGUGGGUAGGCCCCCACUGGAAAAAGACUGCUGAGGAGAGCUGCCUCACCCUUCCAGGGGCGGCCUAGACCAAUAGCUGAUCAACACCAAGGUGUAAAGACUCUUGCCAUCUCAGGCCAAUGUAGCAGGGCCACCCCAGCUCCAGAGCUUUCCUUGGGCUCAGGUGAGGCCUUUCCUGAUAAUAUAUCCCAAUUUCUCUCUCUACCCCAUCUUGUUUCUAUCCUCCUCCAGCUCACAGGUGUUCAUCCCAAGAGCACUUGCUAAUAAAAUUUCCCAAUGUUAAUAUUUUUCCCAGAGUUAGCUUCUCACAGAGCACAACCUAUAACCCUUGCCUCUAUGUUUCAAAGAAUUAAACACAAAGGAAUCAAUUCAAGGGCUUUUUCUCCCCCAUUAGAACAAUCUUAUAACAAAUGACAUUAUUAUUUGAGAAAGAGACUGGAUCUUGGUAGCAGCUGCAGCAGAAAGCCAGAUUCACACUAUUCAUGUAAUACAACAGAAACACUCAUAGCUUGGAGUAACCUCCAUUCAUUGCAUGUUGUCCUUCAUUGCAUGGGAAUGCUGCUUCCAAAACAUUAGGAAUUUAGGAAAUUAUGAUGAGGGAACAAACACAGACUUAAUUAGGAGCAGUGUCAGAGUUCUUGCAUUUUUUAAUUGACCUCCAGGAAACUACUUUUUUUUAAUGCCAAGUUGUUGCUUAUAUCUGAUUCUCCAAAAUGUACAGUAACAAGACAACUCUUGAAGAAAUCUCCAAGUCUAGAAGAUUUUUUAAAAAUGUCAAACAUUUUCCCUAUUGACUAUCAUAACAAAUGUAAUUCUUGAUGAUACUCUAGUAUAAUUAUAUUUAAUAGUAUAUGAUUAUUAUUGAUAAGGCUCUGGUAUAGGGGUCAGUGAAAUACAGAUUGGGGUAGAAACCCAGCACACAUGGGCAGAAUUUGGCCACAUCCAUUCAUUGAGAGACUGUGUCUGGCUGCUUUCGUUCUACAAUGGCAGAGUUAAAUAGCUGGGGCAGAAACUGCAUGCCCGUGAAGUCUAAUAUAUUUAUAAUUUGGCCCUUCAUGAAAAGACUGCUGACCUCUGCUCUUGAGUAGUAACAUUUAGUGCUCAGUACACCAUUAAAUGAAAUAAUAAAAUUUUGUUUAAGAAGAGUAACACUCUGUGGAUAUACACACACACACUCAAAGUUAGCUCUGAUCACUGAAAUUAGAGGUAAAUUUUUGGAUUUUCUUCUUUUUCUUUUUUUUUACUUUCCACAAGAAAUAUGCAUUGUUUUUCAGUAAGAAAAGUAAUAGAUGCUAUUCACUGUGUAAUCUGUAAUUUUUCCUUCAAAACCAUUUAGAAUUUUAUUAGCUGGCUGUCUUUAUAGUUAUUUAUCUGAAGUCCAAUUAGAAAGCAGCUCUGAAUGUGUGCCUCCUGAAGGAUUUGUUUCAUACUACUACUCCAUGUCUAAGGAAAACAUGUAAACAAUGCAGCGUAGAGAAGCUUGUCCAGCUACUGGAUUAAGCAUCCAGUUGGCCAUCAGAAGUUAAAAAAAAAAAAAAGAAAGAAAGAAAGAAAGAAAACCACACUAACAACACUGAGUUAUUUUGUGACAGCUGGUCCCAUUUGGUAAGCUUAUACACAUUGUACUAAGAAAUAUGGUUUAUUCAACUUCUGGCUUAUAAUGGUUUUUAAAUUCUUCCAUUAAUUUUCUUCUUGAAUUUUUCAAGAAGAAAAUACCAAAAAAAGACUUCCCUUUUCCAAAACCAGUCCAUUUCUGGAUAAUAAAAAUAACAUAGUGGUCAUUAUAGUAAUAUAGCUAAUCAUUUUUGAGUGAUUCUUAAUAAACACCAAGCCUCCAAGCCUCAAGUUCAGGGCUAUUUGCCAUCAUCCUCUUGACAAACAAAUGAGAAAUUCUCUCACAGCCUAUUUUCAGAUGAGGAAACUGAUCCUCAGCCAGGUUGAGUAGGUUGCCAAAGGCUCACCAACCUAACACAUGGAUUAGCCAAAAGUCCAGAGGUCAGGUCACUUCUCUCUAACUCCAAAAUUCUGAUCCUCUUCAUUAAACUGUGUAGUCUCCUGACCAUCAGCAUUAACCACAACAUGGAAUAACCCCAGAACCCAUCUCUAUGGAAAAACAUGUUUGGCACUCAAUGAAUAUCUGCAGAAUGACCAAAAGACGGUGUCUUUAGUUCAUUAAAUAAGGACUAGCAUAAAGAAGUGGGAUUUGUAGCAAUAGAAAUAUCGGGAGGGGUUUCUAUUGUAAUUCAGCAGGUUAAGAACCUAACAUUGUGUCCAUGAGGAUGUGGGUUUGAUCCCUGACUGCGUUCAGUGGGUGAAGGAUCCAGUGCUGCUGCAAUCUGCAGUGUAUGCCACAGGUGCAGCUUGGAUCUGAUGUUGCUGUGGCUGUGAUGUAGGCCGGCAGCUGCAGCUCCAGUUUGACCCCUAGCCUGGGAAUUUCCAUAGGCUGCAGGUUCAGCCCUAAAAAUACAAAAAAGAAGAACAGACUAUUUCUGUGUAAUACUAAAACACUUAUUUGAAACAAUUUCAGGAAACUAGUUUGUAUAAACAUGUUAUAUGUCCAAAUGAUUUCUUUAUUCAAAUAAAUAUUAAAUUUUGUCAUGUUUGCUUAACCUGGAAUUACAUAUCAUUGUCACAUAGAAAAAUAUUGGAAUAUGAUUUAUAUUUCCAUUUUCUUCUACUCUCAUAGGCAGUUUUAGAGUUUUGUAUCUUUGGUCACUGGAAAUCUGGGGCUUUUUAAGUUUUUUUACUGUCUGGAUUGAAGCCAGUGUUACUAUAUUUCUGGCUUAGCAACUGUGGGUCUUUGUAGAUGCUGAAAAACAUAUAUAUUCAUAAUGCAGCCUUUUCUAUUACUGAAUCAAAACAAAAUGGGUCUUGGUGAUUUUGAAAUUAUUAUUACUUAGUCACACAAAAAGAGAAAUCAGUUAUUGCCAAAUCUAUUUUAUAAAUAAAAUUAUGCAUUUUGGUUCCUUCCAUUAUGUAGUAAUAAAAAAAAAUAAAAUCUGGAAUAUUUGGUACUAAUAUUUAAAAGUUGACGGUAUCCCCUCAUAGUUGUGGCAGUUUGUAUUUCCAUUUAAAAUACAUUAAGAAGUGGAUUAAAACAGAAUACAGUAUUUUUAAACCCUUAAAAAUGCCAAACUCGAUAAAAUGCCAUCAAAGUAGAUACUUUUUCAUUAUCUCCAUUUGGCAGAAGAGAAACCUAAGGCUCAGAGGAAUCAGGAAACUUACUCCAGGUCACACAGACAUAAAAGAGCAAAGAUGGGAUGGGAAUUCAACUGUAUUAGACUCAAGGGCAGUUUCUGGACCUCAGCACUAUCCAAUUUUUUUUGGGGGGGGGGCACACCUGUGGCAUAUGGAGGUUUCUAGGCAAGGGGUCUAAUCUGAGCUAAAGCUGCUAGCCUAUGCCACAGCCACAGCAACACCAGAUCCUUAACCCACUGAGCAAGGCCAGGGAUCGAACUGCAACCUCAUGGUUCCUAGUCAGAUUUGUUUCUGCUGCGCCACAACGGGAACUCCAGCUCUAUCCAUUUUGGACAGGAUAAUCCUUUGUCAUGGCCAUGGGGGAGAGAUGUCCUUGGUAUUACAGGAGGUUUGGCAGCAUCCAUGGCUUCUAUUCAUUAGUUGCCAGUAACACCUCCCUCCAACAAAUUGUAACAAUCCAAAAUAUCUUCAGACAUUGUCAAAUUCCCCCUGGGGGAGGCAAAAUCACCCCAGUAUAGAAAUGACUACCCUAAAGCUCAGAUAUUAAGUGCUAUGCUUUUCUGGCUGUCUUUCAGUAUAGGUCAAGAUCAGCCUUACAGAACGGGCCCCUAGCAAGUUUGUCACAGUCCAUGCAUGUCUGGGCCUCAGCCAAUUUUGUUUCUCCUUCAUUUUAUGUAGGAAGGAAAUGCCAGGCGCCCACAAUCUAGAGUGGUUUGGGAUAUGUACCCAAAGCUAAAAUUAAUUUAAAAAAAUAAUGAAUUGCCCUGCUCUCAUUACCAGAAAUUUGAGCCAGAACUGGAUCCAUGUGCUUGGGGAUGAGAUUGUUACAAAGGAAGGGUAAUGGGAAGACUUAUUUCAAGCUCAGAGUCCUCACUAUUUCACUCAGAAUUAAUUUGACGAAGACUAGAAUAAGAAUUGCAAAGUCAUCAAAGAUGAUGGCUUUUCCUUUAUGACCCUUGGCACCAGAACAAAGAGCCUAUUUUUGUGGGUUUUGGGGUUUCCAGAAUAAAGGGAAUAAGAUGUUUAGGUAAUGUUUGGAUGGUUUAGAGACUGUAUGUACAUUAGUGAUAGGUCAAUUAAUAUCUGAACAGUUCAAAGAGGCAAUUAUUUUAAUUUAUAAAUCACUUCAGAGGUAGGGAGCUGCCAUCCAUUAAUGUGGUUUUUACAAAUAAGAGUGCUCAUUGUUAUGUGUUUGUGUGUGUGCAUUUCUACCCAUGUCAUUCUAUCUGGCCUGAAUUUUCCGACCAGAUCGCAUAGCUCUGUGAUUAUGUAUUUGUCUCUAGAGCACUGCCAAAUACAUAAAGCAUUGUAUCUGCAAUUUGACCCUUAGCUGAGACCACCCUAUUUUUCGAGUUUUAACUAUGCUAAAAGGUACCACCAUGCACAUUGUUGCUUCCAGAAAAGGACUUCUUACAUUACGCUCUAAAUGGCAGAGUCGAAGAGCUAAGUCUCCUGGGGUUGGGAGGGUGGAGUGGGAUUACAAUGCCUGUUGGUUCAAAAAGGAGAGAGGGCCAAAGUGAUUUCUGGGCAUGGUGGACUUAUCAGACAUUUUGACAGUUGGCUGAAAAGUUGCCAAGUGGCAACAGAGAGAUUUCCUUUAAAACCGUGUCAUGAACAUCCCUUGAUUUUUUUUCCUAUUUUUAAAAAUUACUAAAUGACAAAAAAGUUUUAAGCAUAGUGCUCACCUCUAAGGGUAUGAGAAUAUGUAAGACCAAGACAGUCUAAUGGGAGAGGCAAACUAGGAAGCUCAAGGUAAGAGUAUAUGAUGAGUGUGAUAAUUGGUAAAGUAU
rnacentral:lncRNA from 1 species